UUAAGGAAAUAAUGUUUGAAAAACACAACCACGUGUAGCACUGGCAAUAUUAUUAAUAACAAAAAUCUGUCAAACAAUGGACAAAUUUUAAUGAAUUUGCUUUUUCUUUUUUUUUUUCUUUUUUUAUAAAAACUUCAUUUAAAUUAUUAAAUUAUUUUCAUGCCAUUCUUUUCAGACUAUUUGUGUAAUAUAUAUAUAAAAUGUAGAUCACAGAGAUCUGUUUUUCUUUUUCUAUUUUUUUUUUGUCUAAAAAAUUAUUACACUAUGGAUCUAAUAAACAGAUCAACGAAAGACUUUAUGGGAUUGAAAAAUUCUAUUUCUUACCUAGUUGAAACAAUCACAAAACCAUGAGAGACUUCGUUUUAAAGCCAAAAAAAUCACUAUGAAUCAACAAUGAGUUAUAUAUAUAUAUAUAUAUUAAAUUUGUGAAUUAUUUUUAGGAAAAUGUCUGAUAAAUGUUUCUUAAAAAAAUUAAACGUGGAAAGAAGAAAAAAUCCCAUACAUUUGAUAAGAUUUAUAAGCAGAAAAAAACAACAAAAUGUGUUUGGGGUGGUUGAAGAAUUGAUGAAUAAUAAUUGCUAUGUGUUGGAAGCAGUACUACGAAAAUGAAAGGCUGGACCAUCGAAUUUAUGACAAGCAAAUUUAUUGCCACAGCUACCUCCCUGACCACUUGCUAAUAACUACAACGUUGACAUGUGUGCCUCUGCCACCUGGACAGACUUGGCAAUAAAUUUGCCCUUGUGCUCAUAGAAGUUCUUCCCCACUUCCCACAGCCCCGGCCUGUGGACGCUGGGUCGAGUCUUAGGGCCGGUCGGGAAUGCCUGGGGGCAUAGCCAAAAAAAUAUAUAUAUAAUUCAAAUAUAUAUAUAUAUAUAUAUAUAUAUAAUUUUUUUUUUUCAUCUGUUGGAAAAAUAUUCGCGACAUAAGAUUAAAAAAUGAUAAAAUAUCAAAGUUCUAAUAGUGUCACGCUGAUUGAAAACGAGAACUUUAGGGCCUGUUUGGCCAGCUGUUUUCAGAACAGUUUUUUGUUCUUGAAAACAGAAAUUUAUUUCCAAAACAAUUUUAUACUUGUUUGGCCAUUUGUUUCUAAAAACAAGUUCUGAAAACAAGUUAAAAAAAAAAACAAAAUUGGGAAAACAUCAAAAAGAUGUUUCCACCUGUUCUUUCACCUUGGCCUCUCUUGUCUCUCACCUUCGUCGCUCGACCAGCCCCUUCACUGGCUUGCGAAACGUUCACCGCUCGUCGACCCACGCACACCAGCUAAUCUUCAUCGAACAGAUCUCGAAUAGUCAGCCGUGCCUUCAACAAAAAAAGAUCUCUGCUGAAGUUCACCGAUCUCUGCUGAAGUUCACCGAUCAGUAUAUUUGUGCGAUGUCAACUAUGGAAAAUGAUGGUGGUGAUGAUUCAACUCUAUGGCUUGUUGUUAUAGUUAUAGCUUGUUGUACACUACAUAAUUUCAUUCGAAAGUCGGCACAAAAUGAUGUUAUGUUUACACAAUGGGAAGAAGAAGAACAAGAGAUUGAAGAUGAAGAAGCUAGUACAAGUGGAUCAAACAAUAGUAUAGAUUUGUCAGACGAAGCAGCAACAGCUAUGGCAGCUUAUCGCAAUCAGCUUUCACAAGUAAUGUGGCAUGACUAUGUUAUUCAUAUGUAAAAUUAGUAAUUUAAUGGAUAUUUAUAGUUGGAGAUUUUAUAUUAGACUUAUAAAAUUUAAUUUCCUAUUAGCAACAA